rnacentral:rRNA from 1 species
CCCUUAGAUGUUCUGGGCCGCACGCGCGCUACACUGAUGCAUUCAACGAGUCCAACCUUGACCGAGAGGUCCGGGUAAUCUUUGAAACUGCAUCGUGAUGGGGCUAGAUUAUUGCAAUUAUUAAUCUUCAACGAGGAAUGUCUAGUAAGCGUGAUUCAUCAAAUCGCGUUGAUUACGUCCCUGCCCUUUGUACACACCGCCCGUCGCUCCUACCGAUUGAGUGUGUUGGUGAGGAGUUUGGAUUGGCCUCGGAAGGUGGUUCGCCACCGUCCGUAGCUGAGAAGUUCUCCAAACCGCCCCACUUAGAGGAAGGAGAAGUCGUAACA